UUUUCACUUCGAUGCUAUCUACGAUAAAAGGGCAAAUGUCUUAUCCUAUUAAAAAGGUUAAAUGUAAAGUACAUUUAUUAUCUCAAAAAUUACAAAUUGAAGGAUUAGUAACAACCUCAAGUAUAUGAUUCAUCUGUUUCAGUUAUGAUUAUCUAUUUUUUUAUCUAAAAAUGUUUGUGUUCAUUAUUUCUUUUUGUUUAUUUUGAUAUAUCCUCCAUUUUCCCUGGACUUAAUCUUUUUGCUGUUGUAAUAAAUGAAUUUAAAGGGUCUCGUGCCUCCUUUCUUCUAUGGAAUAAGUUGUUUCAGAGAAUGUGUGGAUGUUAAUUUGGUCUAUAAUCUUUCUAGAAAUGCAGUAUAGAGAAUGUGUCAUCUUUCUUAAAAUUGUUUAUUAAUAUAUUUAUAAUUUUUAUGUAAUAUAUUUAUUUCCAAAUGAAUUUUUUCCUUCUAUUAAUUAAGAAAACAGUGAUGACAGAGCAAUUGAGAGAACUCUUAGUAGAAUUAUAGUGAAUGAGUUUUAUUUGAGAAUGUAUGUGAGAAAUCUUAUUAUUUGCUUGAUAUUGCAAAGAACUUUAAUGUAUACAAUUUCAUUGGUAGAUAUGAUUUUUAUAAUAUGAUUUUGUGGCCUAUUUAAGUAGCUUUCUAGCAAGUGGAUUUUCAUGGAAUGAUUCAUCACAUUUUUUCCUUUGUUUUUUCCUGCAAUCUUAACAUUUGACCAUCUAAUUAAUAAUUAAGUUGAUUAUAGAAUUUCAAAUAACAUGAUUUGGGGUAAUAACAUGAUAUGGAACAUACAUCUAACUUUUUAAUUUUUUAUAAUGUUAAUAAUAAUGUUUAGGUUAAUAUUUUGAUUGGUCUUAAAGCAUUGGAUCGGUAGCUAAUUGCAAGAGCCACUAAUGCUAAUAGUUCCUGAUGUACAAGAUGUCUAUACUCCCUUACAGACAGAUGUUCUUGUUCUGUAUCCGAGUGCCACCAACAUUUAGAAUUAUUGCUGGAAAGCAUUCCAACCAUGUUUCAGAAUAGUAAAA